rnacentral:lncRNA from 1 species
ACCUUUGCUUUGCAGUGUUAAAAAUCCCAAUUCCUGAGCCCAUCCACCUCUGGGGUCAAAAUGUUUUCCUUGUGCAAAAAAAAAAAAUGAAUGGAUCUUGGCCAAAGAAGUGUGGUUGCACUUUUCUAGCAUCUGUUACUUUGUAAUUAAGAAAAAGAUCUGUAAUAAAUGAAGGAAAAUUUUUUUCUCUUGUAUAACAAUCAAGUUUAAAAAACUUCAUUCAAAUGAUUAACAGUAAUGGUGGAAUAUGUUUAAACAGUGCUUUAGAGUUUCUCAGUGCUUUCGGGUGCUUAGUUUGUCUUGAUCUUCACAUACUCCGUGGAGUGGAAGGUAUCAAGUCCUGUCUGCAUCGAGGCUGAUUUUCACAGGUGGCUUGUGAGAUCAGUUUCAGUACUUCACAGCUACAGUUCCAGGUUUCAUCUUGAGAAAUGUGGACACUAAUAUGUAUACCAGCCUAUUCCAGUUUCACUGAAAUUUGCAAGCUGCUUGUCUACCCAAACUCUCAUUUUUUCAAACACUCUUAAAAACAUGACACCUUCUGAAAAAUCUUUGAAAAAAUUAGCAUAUUCAUAGAAAAAACUCCCAAUAUCCUUAAUGUUUCCAUUUUACUACAUAUUAUGAGAAAUUAAAAACAAAAUGCAAAAUUUGAUGGCUUUUGGUGGAUUUCUAUAUUAUAGUAAGUUUAGUUUUCUCCAAUAUUAUUUGGAAGCAAAAUAAUGAAACAGCACUUUAAUCAGAAGCCUGAUUUUACUUUUGAAUUUUAAACAAGGAUGGAUCUAGAAAACCCUGAUAGCUGAGUUCCAGCGAUACGGGUGAAGGGACCACUGCAGGUUCUUCUCCUCUUUGUCUUCCUCACAUUGAUACAACUUUUUUUCCUCUUUCUGCACAAAUUAUGACUUGAUCACUUCUAACUAAGGCAAGCAUCUGAUAAUGAAGAGUCUGUCCAAUCCAACCCAGUUUAGGAAACUCCCAUUGAAGAUGAAAUGAUGCUACACCAUCAUUACAAACUACUUAUCACACUGCAUAGUACAAAUGCAAAUAA